AGGUGCAGCCAUAAUUUGGAUCCAUGGAGAGGAAGGAUCUUCGUUGGGUGGGACAGUGGAGAAUGUGAAGUCAAUAAUGCAAACAACAUCGAACUUGAAACACUGCAACGAAGACGAGGUUUCUACAUUUGCAAAGGAGAUGGACGCAUCUGAUGAUCUGGUAGCACAAAUCAGGGAUAUGGGUAAGCUUCCAGUUGUCCAAAUUGCAAUGGGAGGUGUUGAGACUCCUGCUGAUGCAGCACUGAUGAU
rnacentral:misc_RNA from 1 species